CCUACGGGAGGCAGCAGUGAGGAAUAUUGGUCAAUGGACGAGAGUCUGAACCAGCCAAGUAGCGUGAAGGAUGACUGCCCUAUGGGUUGUAAACUUCUUUUAUAUGGGAAUAAAAUGUUCCACGUGUGGGAUUUUGUAUGUACCAUAUGAAUAAGGAUCGGCUAACUCCGUGCCAGCAGCCGCGGUAAUACGGAGGAUCCGAGCGUUAUCCGGAUUUAGUGGGUUUAAAGUGAGCGUAGGUGGAUUGUUAAGGCAGUUGUGAAAGUUUGCGGCUCAACCGUAAAAUUGCAGUUGAAACUGGCAGUCUUGAGUACAGAAGAGGUGGGCGGAAUUCGUGGUGUAGCGGUGAAAUGCUUAGAUAUAACGAAGAACUCCGAUUGCGAAGGCAGCUCACUGGACUGCAACUGACACUGAGGCUCGAAAGUGUGGGUAUCAAACAGGAUUAGAUACCCCAGUAGUC
rnacentral:rRNA from 1 species